rnacentral:rRNA from 1 species
AGAGCGAACGCUGGCGGCAGGCCUAACACAUGCAAGUCGAACGGACCCUUCGGGGUUAGUGGCGGACGGGUGAGUAACACGUGGGAACGUGCCUUUAGGUUCGGAAUAGCUCCUGGAAACGGGUGGUAAUGCCGAAUGUGCCCUUCGGGGGAAAGAUUUAUCGCCUUUAGAGCGGCCCGCGUCUGAUUAGCUUGUUGGUGAGGUAAUGGCUCACCAAGGCUACGAUCAGUAGCUGGUCUGAGAGGAUGACCAGCCACAUUGGGACUGAGACACCGGACCCCAAAA